AUAGCUCAGUGGUAGAGCACUUGCUUAUAGUGCAAGAGACCUGAAUUCAAUUCUUAGU
rnacentral:tRNA from 1 species